rnacentral:piRNA from 1 species
UGAGAAAAGGAAUGUGCCCUGAGUAGAAGC